GAUUAGCUCAGUUGGUUGGGCGCCAGUCUGCAGAGCGGGAGGUCGCGGGUUUGAAUUCCGGCCGGACCA